CUCGUCCUACGGGAAGCAGCAGUGAGGAAUAUUGGUCAAUGGUCGGGAGACUGAACCAGCCACGCCGCGUGAGGGAUGAAGGUACAGAGUAUCGUAAACCUCUUUUGUCAGGGAACAAAGGCGGGGACGCGUCCCCGGAUGAGUGUACCUGAAGAAAAAGCAUCGGCUCACUCCGUGCCAGCAGCCGCGGUAAUACGGAGGAUGCGAGCGAUAUCCGGAUUUAUUGGGUUU
rnacentral:rRNA from 1 species